UCUGAAGGAAGUCUGGGCGCGAUCAAUCUUAUUCGCCAAAAGGUCUGACAGCUCCUGGCCCUUGACAACACAUUGGGAGCUUCUUGCUCUUUCCAAGACCAAAUGUUGCCGAGAAAUGAGGGAAGAGCGAGAAACGCAAUGGCGCAGGCAGAGAGAAGGCAGAGAAUGUCUAAGCGUGGAAGAAACAUCCAAAGAGUUCUGUUCGCAGGAAGCAUCUCUGGCGCGGCUUCCCGCUACUCGUUUCCUUUCUUCUUUAAAAGAAAAAAAAAUUAAAACGUUAAGUUUCUUGUCCCAGUUAAGGGCAAAUCCUACAUCCUCGAGCGUGUGUCUACACAUGUACCCAUCUACCGCGGACGUUUCCAAAGGUCAUUCCAGGAAGGUUCUCAGAAGAUAAAGAACAUAUUUUUAGAGUGAACAAAAUGGCGACAUUUUUUCCCCUGUGCCUUGGGAGAUGCAGCGGAGAGAGGGCAAGGCUGAUUUCUCCCCCCAAAUAUACGCCUGGCUACAGAUAUAGGUGGCUUUUCACUUCGUGCUUUAAGCUGCGAGCAGAUACAGGGCUCAAAUCGGAACCUUAACAUCCCCUGGCUUAUAAAAACAAAAAACCCAAACCCAAACCAACCCCUAAGAAGCAAACAUUUCUUUUUGAAUGUGGGGGCUCUGGGGGCUCUCCCAGGGGCGGCUCCAGGAGCAGCAACACAAUAUUUCGUUCUCGUGGCAUCAAAAAAGGAAAACACUUGGAAGCACUGCAUUUUAUUAGAAAGCCAAGCGGCCACGUUCUCUGCCUCUGUCUCUCUGUCUCUCUGUCUCUCUGUCUCUGUCUGUCUCUGAAAGACCCCAAGGAGGGGGGAAGAGGAGCCCAGGCUCAGAAAUUGGGGCAAAAUAUCCCCAUUCCCGGGAAGAAGGUUCAUGCUUGCAAGCUGCCAGCGACUGUCAAGCAGUCCAGGGAAGGGGAAGGCUUGGCUAGCGGCUGCUGCCUACCUUCACUUCACGUUCGGCCCCCUUUGUGAGCCUGAACUACCGUAGUUACCGAAAAACUGCCUCAAACCUCCUAGGCGAUUUAUGACGGACUGUCUCUUCCUGGAGUGAUUAACGACAUGGGAAGUCAUAAACGACUGUAUUUCGAAUUUGCCCCUUGGAAACGGCGUCCCGCCGCCUCUGAUUUGUAUGCCUGGCUCCGCUGGCCUUUAUUUAAGGCAGCCCCCACACCACGUAACAGUCUUUGGCUUCUCUCGGGUGACCCCGAUGCGAGAAGAGACUUCCCCAGUGCUCAAGAGAGGAACGUCCUUCUCCCUUGGGGUGGCUGGAAGGAGGGCGACAGAGAGGCAGGAGAGGGGAAGAGAGACACCCAGAGAGAAAGGGAAAGAGAAAGGCUCUCAGGAGAAGAUGGCGAUCGCCCGCCCGCCCGCCUGCCCGCCGGCCGGCCUGCCUGCCUGCCUUCCUCCUCGAGCAGAGUGGUGGAUCUCCAUCCCCGCCCCCAUUGCCCCCCCACUCUCCCACCCACCCACUCGACUCCCACUGCUUCUCGGGCCCAGCACCAGCACCUGUGAUCGCCGCGCUUUGUUCCUGGCUUUGGGAGCUCCAGGGAGACUCUGGCUCUGGAUUGGGGCCUGGCAGCUCGGAGGCACGACCCCAAGCCAGCCCAGCUAGAACUAGAGGUUCGGACCCAGAACCCGCAUCGAGGGGGCGCCCCCUUCCCCACCCGCCUACCCUGCUAGCAGCACCUCAAGGACAGCCCUAGGCCCAGGCGGGCUCCCGGAGCUCUGCUCGGGAGAGCCCGGAAGGAUCCUGGGGGCUCGGGCAGCAAAGACUGGGGAUACCUGUGUCUAGCCUCCCUUCCCCUGGGCGUGGGCAGCCCCUAAUCUCGGCCAAAGAACACGUUCUGGAUACCGAAUUAGUCAGAAUAAAAACUUUAUUUUGUUUUUUUGUUUUUGAUUUUUUCAGAACGUGAGCAGCAAGGAAUGUAGACCUCUCGACAAAUCUGGGAUUUUUUUUUUUCAGGAUUACAGAUUGUUGGGGGAGGGGGUCUGUUUAGCCGGAUGUUACAAGCAUAAACUACUGUUGGAGGGGGGAAAAAAGAAGGGAAAAAAGGUGGUUUCUCUCUGGUAUUGUUACAAUCGUUACCAUCUUGGUAAAGGAAUUCUCUUUCCUUUUCGAACCAAACUGUCGUUAGAACGGCAAUCUGCUCCUGAACAAAAGGUCAGAGGAGAGCUCCUGAACAAUCAGGGUAUGGGGGGGGGGUAAUAUAAAUAUGAGCGGAUGGGGAUAAAUAAUAUUUAAACACUUAGAUUACUCAAUGUUUGCAAAAAAAUAUAAAUAAAUCUGACUGUUCACCAGCAUACACACAUCGAGAGACGGACACAGAUUCAUUAUUGUCCAGGGAGCCCCUGUUUCAAAGCGCCCUUUGAUAUCCUUUCUCGCUCUUUAAAAGAAGUGCAAUAAAAAACAACAACUAAAAUAAUAAUUAAUAAUAAAACACAACUUAAUCGCUUCCCCUCGGGAGCCAUAAUGUACGAACAAAUUCACAUUGAAGAACUCGGCUAGAAAAUUUGUUCAUAUACCCUGUUUCAGAUAAAAGAAUAAAGAAGGUGAAGGAAGGAAACCCCUCCUCUCGCCCCCACCUCCAGCCAAAGAGAGCCGGAGAACUCGAGCUGGGGGCAGAUAAAUAUCACCAUGGAAACUCUAGAGCCAUUCAAGCAACGAAUAUUGCUACGUCAUAUAAACUAUAAAAAGGCUUUACCCAAGAAAACAAAAGAAGGGGUGGGGGAGGGGAGAGAGGAGAAAGAGAGACAGGGAAGGAAGGAAGGAAGGAAGGAAGGAAGGAAGGAAGGAAGGAAGGAGGGAAGGAAGGAAGGAAGGAAGGAAGGAAGGAAGGAAGGAAGGAAGGAUCAUUUAAAAAAAGAAGAAGAAAGCAAAAAGCACAACAGAACCAAAACAAGAAAGAAAGAAAUGGGUUGACUUUGGGUCCACUCAACCCCGAGGUCCAUCACAGAUGGGUCAGCUUGGGUGCCUCCUGAAUUCUUCCCUGAGAAGGAUGGUGAGCUGUAAGGUCUGUGUAGGUGGGGUGGGGCUCACAAGGUCCAUGAUGAUGGUUGUUGGCUAUGGGCCCAGCCCCCCCAUAGUCCAGGUUGGCAGAGACGGGAUGGGGGAGAUGAGUCAGACCAAAGAUGGAAGACCCGGAAUUACUCAUGGGCUCCACAUAGUUGCCCCCCACGAAGACGGGGCUUCCCUGUUGAGCAAGUUGGCCAUCUCUACCCUCCUGGGCCUACACAGAUACCUAUUGAAGUGGAAUUCCUUCUCCAGCUCCACCAGCUGGGCGCUUGUGUAAGCUGUUCGAGCCCUCUUGGAUGAUGCCUGCCCCGGGGGGCUUUUAUCGCCAGAGCAACUCUCACCUACACAAAUCACACACAAAGAAGAGGAUGAGUACUCCACAGCCACUGAGCCCCCAGCCCCUGUAGCCCAAGCCAACGGCCAUGGGCACACUCCCUGGACCACUGGGAGGCCCUUAGAGCAUCUGGUCCAGGGAGGUGCUCCCCUUCCUCCAUGGCCUGCUCCUCUCCACCCUCCUCCCCUCCAGCAGCCUGGAAGGACUGAAAGGGCAGGAAAUGUUCUACCUCUCAGCUGUCUCAGGGAGAUGGAAGAACUAUGGAAAACAGACAACUGAAACCAAAUCUAGGGGGAAGUGAGUUUGUGGGAAAGUCAUCUUCAUCCUCCAGAUGAAGGAGAAGCUCCUCCCCCCCUUGGCAAGAGGGCUGCCUGACUGAAUUCUUUUCACCCUAGUGCCUAAGGCUCCAUUUCUCCAGGCAUGUAUAUCUAGUGAGGGUGACCUGCUAGAAAGAGGUCCUGAAGCAGCCUGAACAUGGGAGCAAAGCCAUCCAGUCCCUGAAUGGACCGCCUAGACCAGUGGGGGAAGGGCUCCAAGACUUUAGCUGGGAGGCAUGUGGCAUGGAUUUGCCCAAGAUGUUCCUUACACUCCUGGUCUCCCUGGGCUCCCCCCAGGCCUCCCCAGCCAAACACGGUUUGUUCCAGGUUUAGAACUACUUCUAGUACCAUCAGCUGGAAAGGAGGCAGAUGUAAACAAGAGGCCUGAAAGCUGCAGAGGGCUCGCUCAGGCCCAGGUGGUUCACAUUAGGGACUACAAACUCGGUAAUCCCCCACCCUGGGUCUUCUCUUUCCCCCAAGGCCUGACUUUCUUGUGCUAGCACAGAGCACGGGUUUGCUGGAACGUGUGUCCCAGGCAUUGAACCUGCCUGAGCACCAAUAGCUUCUGAUUUUAGGCAAAGCAUUGAUUCUGACUGCA